CGAGCGCCCCGCAAGGGGAGCGGCAGACGGGAGAGUAACACGUGGGAACGUGCCCUUUGGUUCGGAACAACACAGGGAAACUUGUGCUAAUACCGGAUAAGUCCGUAAGGAGAAAGAUUUAUCGCCAAAGGAUCGGCCCGCGUCUGAUUAGCUUGUUGGUGAGGUAACGGCUCACCAAGGCGACGAUCAGUAGCUGGUCUGAGAGGAUGAUCAGCCUCACUGGGACUGAGACACGGCCCAGACUCCUACGGGAGGCAGCAGUGGGGAAUAUUGGACAAUGGGCGCAAGCCUGAUCCAGCCAUGCCGCGUGGAUGAUGAAGGCCCUAGGGUUGUAAAGUCCUUUCGACGGGGAAGAUAAUGACGGUACCCGUAGAAGAAGCCCCGGCUAACUUCGUGCCAGCAGCCGCGGUAAUACGAAGGGGGCUAGCGUUGCUCGGAAUCACUGGGCGUAAAGCGCACGUAGGCGGCUUUUUAAGUCAGAGGUGAAAUCCUGGAGCUCAACUCCAGAACUGCCUUUGAUACUGAGAAGCUUGAGUCCGGGAGAGGUGAGUGGAACUGCGAGUGUAGAGGUGAAAUUCGUAGAUAUUCGCAAGAACACCAGUGGCGAAGGCGGCUCACUGGCCCGGUACUGACGCUGAGGUGCGAAAGCGUG
rnacentral:rRNA from 1 species